UCGGACCUGCCCAGUGAAGUUUAAACGGCCGCGGUACUCUGACCGUGCAAAGGUAGCAUAAUCAUUUGCCUUAUAAUUGAAGGCUGGAAUGAAUGGUUUGACAAGAAUACACCUGUCUCUUUUAGAUUAUUUAGAAUUUUAUCUCUGGGUGAAAAAGCCCAGAUCUUAUUAAAAGACAAGAAGACCCUAUCGAGCUUCAGAAAAAUUAAUAGAGAUUAUAUUUAAUAUUAAUUAAAAGAAAAGCUAUUGAAUACUUUGGUUGGGGCAACCGAGGAGUAAAUAAAGCCUCCUUUAAAUAAGAAGUCUUACUUGUGAAGAUCCAAGAAUUUUGAUCAAAGAAAUUAGUUACCGUAGGGAUAACAGCAUUAUCUUUUUUGAGAGCCCAUAUCGAAAAAAAGGUUUGUGACCUCGAUGUUGGACCAGAAUAUCCUAAAGAUGCAGAAGUCUUUGAGGGUUGGUCUGUUCGACCAUUAAAAUUC
rnacentral:rRNA from 1 species